GCAGCGCGGGGCAACCUGGCGGCGAGUGGCGAACGGGUGAGUAAUAUAUCGGAACGUGCCCUGGAGUGGGGGAUAACGCAGCGAAAGUUGCGCUAAUACCGCAUACGAUCUAAGGAUGAAAGCGGGGGAUUCGCAAGAACCUCGUGCUCCCGGAGCGGCCGAUAUCUGAUUAGCUAGUUGGUGGGGUAAAGGCCUACCAAGGCAUCGAUCAGUAGCUGGUCUGAGAGGACGACCAGCCACACUGGAACUGAGACACGGUCCAGACUCCUACGGGAGGCAGCAGUGGGGAAUUUUGGACAAUGGGCGAAAGCCUGAUCCAGCAAUGCCGCGUGAGUGAAGAAGGCCUUCGGGUUGUAAAGCUCUUUUGUCAGGGAAGAAACGGUGCGGGCUAAUAUCCGGCACUAAUGACGGUACCUGAAGAAUAAGCACCGGCUAACUACGUGCCAGCAGCCGCGGUAAUACGUAGGGUGCAAGCGUUAAUCGGAAUUACUGGGCGUAAAGCGUGCGCAGGCGGUUUUGUAAGUCUGUCGUGAAAUCCCCGGGCUCAACCUGGGAAUUGCGAUGGAGACUGCAAGGCUAGAAUCUGGCAGAGGGGGGUAGAAUUCCACGUGUAGCAGUGAAAUGCGUAGAGAUGUGGAGGAACACCGAUGGCGAAGGCAGCCCCCUGGGUCAAGAUUGACGCUCAUGCACGAAAGCGUGGGGAGCAAACAGGAUUAGAUACCCUGGUAGUCCACGCCCUAAACGAUGUCUACUAGUUGUCGGGUUUUAAUUAACUUGGUAACGCAGCUAACGCGUGAAGUAGACCGCCUGGGGAGUACGGUCGCAAGAUUAAAACUCAAAGGAAUUGACGGGGACCCGCACAAGCGGNGGAUGAUGNNGAUUAAUUCGAUGCAACGCGAAAAACCUUACCUACCCUNGAC
rnacentral:rRNA from 1 species